GGUUCCAAUGAUGAGGCUCCUUCCACUGCUGCAUUAGGCCGACGAUGCCAUGGGGAGACUCUGUCUACCUUGGAGAGCUGAGGAACC